UACGGAGGGUGCAAGCGUUGUCCGGAUUUAUUGGGUUUAAAGGGUGCGUAGGCGGCUUAUUAAGUCAGUGGUGAAAGCUGGUCGCUUAACGAUCAGAGUGCCAUUGAUACUGGUAAGCUUGAGUGCGGUGGCGGUAGCCGGAAUGGGUGAUGUAGCGGUGAAAUGCAUAGAUAUCAUCAAGAACACCGAUUGCGAAGGCAGCUUACUAGGCUUUAACUGACGCUGAGGCACGAAAGCGUGGGGAGCAAAC
rnacentral:rRNA from 1 species